rnacentral:rRNA from 1 species
CAGUCGCCGCGGUAAUACGUAGGUCCCGAGCGUUGUCCGGAUUUAUUGGGCGUAAAGCGAGCGCAGGCGGUUAGAUAAGUCUGAAGUUAAAGGCUGUGGCUUAACCAUAGUACGCUUUGGAAACUGUUUAACUUGAGUGCAAGAGGGGAGAGUGGAAUUCCAUGUGUAGCGGUGAAAUGCGUAGAUAUAUGGAGGAACACCGGUGGCGAAAGCGGCUCUCUGGCUUGUAACUGACGCUGAGGCUCGAAAGCGUGGGGAGCAAACAGGAUUAGAUACCCCUGUAGUCCCUGUCUCUUAUACC